rnacentral:snRNA from 2 species
GCACUUACCUGGACGGGGUCAAUGCGUGAUCAAGAAGACCCAUUGCCUGGAUUAGUGGCCUCCAUUGCACUUGGGAGGAGCACUGGUGCACCAUCCCCUCUAGUAGGAGAAUGGACGUCAUAAUUUGUGAUAGAAGAGGUACGCGUUCGCGCGGCCCCUGC